rnacentral:ncRNA from 1 species
GUCUAAGUAUAAGCUUUUAUACGGCGAAACUGCGAAUGGCUCAUUAAAACAGUUAUAGUUUAUUUGAUGGUCUUUACUACAUGGAUAACCGUGGUAAUUCUAUGGCUAAUACCUUUAAAUACAGUUCCUCAUGUUGUGACCCAACCAUAAAAUUAUUUUUGUUGCUACUUCAUAACUGUAAUGUUGCUACUGAUAUGAAUCGUAAUGUAAAUAUCUGAUAUGCAAGAUGGUCUUAGGUGACCCCUGUGAAAGAG